rnacentral:tRNA from 1 species
GGGGCCGUAGCUCAGUCGGUAGAGCGCUGCGUUCGCAAUGCAGAGGUCAGGGGUUCGAAUCCCCUCGGCUCCA